UAUAGUUUAAACAAAAUAUUAGAUUGUGGUUCUAAGGAUAGGGGUUAAAACCUCUUUAUUCACCGAGAG
rnacentral:tRNA from 1 species